rnacentral:rRNA from 1 species
CCUACGGGGGGCAGCAGUGAGGAAUAUUGGUCAAUGGGAGCAAUCCUGAACCAGCCAAGUCGCGUGCGGGAAGACGGCCCUAUGAGUUGUAAACUUCUUUUGUCGCGGGGUAAAAGACUCCACGCGUAGCGUUCUGAGAGUACGCGACGAAAAAGCAUCGGCUAACUCCGUGCCAGCAGCCGCGGUAAUACGGAGGAUGCGAGCGUUAUCCGGAUUUAUUGGGUUUAAAGGGUGCGUAGGGGGGAUACCAAGUCAGCGGUAAAAAGCCGUUGCUCAACGCCGUGGAGCCGCUGAAACUGGAGUACUAGAGAGGGCGAGAAGUAGGCGGAAGGUGUGGUGUAGCGGUGAAAUGCAUAGAUAUUACGCAGAACACCGAUUGCGAAGGCAGCAUGCCGGGGC